rnacentral:rRNA from 1 species
UAAAUUGAGAGUUUGAUCCUGGCUCAGGACGAACGCUGGCGGCGUGCCUAAUACAUGCAAGUCGAACGAAGCUUUCUUUCACCGAAUGCUUGCAUUCACCGAAAGAAGCUUAGUGGCGAACGGGUGAGUAACACGUAGGCAACCUGCCCAAAAGAGGGGGAUAACACUUGGAAACAGGUGCUAAUACCGCAUAACCAUGAACACCGCAUGAUGUUCAUGUAAAAGACGGCUUUUGCUGUCGCUUUUGGAUGGGCCUGCGGCGUAUUAACUUGUUGGUGGGGUAACGGCCUACCAAGGUGAUGAUACGUAGCCGAACUGAGAGGUUGAUCGGCCACAUUGGGACUGAGACACGGCCCAAACUCCUACGGGAGGCAGC